rnacentral:sRNA from 1 species
GCUGGGCACGGUGGUACAUGCCUGUAAUCCCUGCAACUCAGGAGGCUGAGGCAGGAGGAUCGCAAGUUCAAAGCCAGCUUCAGCAACUUAGCAAGAUCCUGUCUCCA